CCUACGGGAGGCUGCAGUCGAGAAUCAUUCACAAUGGGGGAAACCCUGAUGGUGCGACGCCGCGUGGGGGAAUGAAGGUCUUCGGAUUGUAAACCCCUGUCAUGUGGGAGCAAAUUAAUAAGAUAGUACCAUAAGAGGAAGAGACGGCUAACUCUGUGCCAGCAGCCGCGGUAAUACAGAGGUCUCAAGCGUUGUUCGGAAUCACUGGGCGUAAAGUGUGCGUAGGCUGUUUCGUAAGUCGGGUGUGAAAGGCGCGGGCUCAACCCGCGGACGGCACAGGAAACUGGGAGAUUAGAGUAAUGGAGGGGGAACCGGAAUUCUCGGUGUAGCAGUGAAAUGCGUAGAUA
rnacentral:rRNA from 1 species